rnacentral:rRNA from 1 species
UACAGAGGAUGCAAGCGUUAUCCGGAAUGAUUGGGCGUAAAGCGUCUGUAGGUGGCUUUUUAAGUCCGCCGUCAAAUCCCAGGGCUCAACUCUGGACAGGCGGUGGAAACUACCAAGCUGGAGUACGGUAGGGGCAGAGGGAAUUUCCGGUGGAGCGGUGAAAUGCGUAGAUAUCGGAAGGAACGCCGGUGGCGAAAGCGGUCUGCUGGACCUCUUCUGACGCUGAGGCGCGAAAGCCAGGGGAGCAAACGGG